GGAGCUGCCAACGCCAUCAGUGCUGAGCAGCGGAGAGCGGGCGCUUCAUUGUCUGGUGUUAAAACAUGUCCUGUGUCACUCGUGCAUUUACAGACAGAGGACGGAGGUGUCAACAGAACUGCUUCCUCGCGUAUUUACAGAAAUCUCUCUUCAUCAGAGGUGCCCGCCCCAGCUCUGCGCUCUGUGGGAGAUGACUCCACACCUCGUCCCCUUCCGAAAGUCACAAAACUUGAAUGACUGCUCUUCUCCGUCUAGCAAACUGCUCCUCACCCUUCAGGACCAGGCUCAGAUGCCCUCUCCUCUGCUGGGCUUCCUGAUGCCAGAUAGAGCUUCCGUCUGCUCCACCAUCCCUCCUUCUAUCCACCCGUCCACUCAUUGAGCCAUCCGUCCAUCCGUCCAUCCGUCCAUCCGUCCAACCAUCCGCCAUCCCCACUCACUCAUCAGUCUGUCCAUCCCCCACUCACUCAUCCAUCCAUGCACCUGGCCACCCAGUCACCCAACAGAUGUCUGUUCAGCCCAUACCAUAUGCCACUUGUUCUGGCCACUUGUGAUUCAAUUCUGGGGGGAUGGUAGCUCAUCCUAUAAUAAAGACCUCGCCGAGA